UCACGAGUCUGGAGGACAAGCAGUAGCCAUUGAACCUGCAACUGCAUGAUGUGCGGGAGGUGGGGGCUGUUCUAAAGGACGAUAGAGGUGAAGGGCAAGGCCGUGUCAGGGGUCAGGAGGCCUCUCUGAGGAGAGACCUCCUGAAUCAGAACCUCAGGGUGGGCCUGGCCAUCGGAGUUUUAACAAGGCCUCCAAAACAUUCUGACACUCACCAGAGUCUGAGAGACACAGCAGAGCUAGAAUCUGGGCUCCAGUUUUCACCCAGGAGACAGGAGGAUUCUGGGUGGAAGGGCAGGAGGGACUGGGGUCCCCCCUAGAAGGAGCGCCCCAGGAGGACGCCACACAGAGAGUCUUCCGAGAUGGAAAUGCUUGCAAGGAAGGAAGAGACACUUUCUAUCUUCUGCCAUCAGAAGCACAGAAGGGUGAAGCCAGGCACACCCAGAGAAGCAUCUCAUGUUGUGUGUGGCUGCUGCAGCGCUCUCUUGGGCCCUGGGGCAGGAGAUGCUCAAAGGUCAACAGGACUUGGGAAGGCAGCUGUGAGUAAAGCCCCCAGUCCUGGUCCUGGACUCACUGCACCAGGGACCCCAAGGGGCUAAACAUGACUGGAUUGUAGCAAGCCAUUUUCAACAUGCAAAGAAGCAACCAGGAAGAAUGUCUAAUUACAGAUGUGCUAUUUCUCUCCU
rnacentral:lncRNA from 10 species